rnacentral:rRNA from 1 species
UACGGAGGGUGCAAGCGUUAUCCGGAUUCACUGGGGUUAAAGGGCGCGUAGACGGGCUGACAAGUCUGGGGUGAAAUGCCGCGGCUCAACCGUGGAACUGCCUUAGAUACUGUCGGCCUCGAGGAAGGUAGGGGCAUGCGGAACUGUAGGUGGAGCGGUGAAAUGCGUAGAGAUCUGGAGGAACACCGGUGGCGAAGGCGGCCCCCUGGUUCGAUACUGACGCUGAGGUGCGAAAGCGUGGGGAGCAAACAGG